rnacentral:pre_miRNA from 1 species
UAUUAAAAUUUUAUUUAUUUUUACUUUUUAAAAUUGGCAUGCUAAGAGAGAAAAAUCAUAAAGUUACACAUGAUGUGUCAUGUGCGUCUCAUGUUGACAUAUAGGAACCAGUUUUAAAUAGUUAGAAUGGAUGAAAUUUUUACUU